CGUAGGGGCAAGCGUUAUCCGGAUUUACUGGGUGUAAAGGGUGCGUAGGUGGUAUGGUAAGUUGGAUGUGAAAGCCCAAGGCUCAACCUUGGGAUUGCAUCUAAAAACUGCCAAACUAGAGUGCAGGAGAGGAAAGCGGAAUUCCUAGUGUAGCGGUGAAAUGCGUAGAUAUUAGGAGGAACACCAGUAGCGAAGGCGGCUUUCUGGACUGUAACUGACACUGAGGCACGAAAGCGUGGGUAGCAAACAGGAUU
rnacentral:rRNA from 1 species